UUACCCAGGAUACACUUCUGCAAAGCCACUCUAGUAUUGGACCAGUUUACCCCACUCUACCAUGGACGUCCUACUUGUGAUGUGGACCUGAACCACCGCCAUGUUAGUCACUCUUUCAGGUCUUGCGGAGUAUCCUUCCCGAUUUGCAGGAACCAGCCUGGAUAUCAAGGGACACGACAGUUCCCCUGCUGUACCAUGGGUGACCUAGUUGUGAUGUGGACCUGAACCUCCGCCAUGUAGCAGACACCCCCCCCUCAGGUCUUGCGGAGUAUCCUUCCCGAUUUGCAGGAACCAGCCUGGAUGUCAAGGGACACGACAGUUCCCCUGCUGUACCAUGGGCGACCUACCACAAUAACACUGCAUCUCUGAAACGCCAUAUUUUACAUUUUAUUUACUAAUAAUUUAAAGA